UCGUACCAUUGAUAUCAUGUCUGAAGGAAAGACUCAGAUCGGAACAGCCCGGAUGGGUGAUGAAAUCGCAGCAAAUAUAUAGAAUACCAGUGUGGUGUAUACUACACGAUAUUCGAAUAUUGCGUGGGAUUGUAAGAGCGUGAAAUGCGGAACAAUCCGUGUGGUAUGA
rnacentral:sRNA from 1 species